rnacentral:rRNA from 1 species
UAAUACGAAGGGUGCAAGCGUUGCUCGGAAUUAUUGGGCGUAAAGGGUAGGUAGGUUGUCUCAUUUGUCUGGGGUGAAAGCCUUGAGCUUAACUCAAGAAGUGCCCCAGAAACGGUGAGACUAGAAUCUGUGAGAGGGUCGUGGAAUUCCCGGUGUAGCGGUGAAAUGCGUAGAGAUCGGGAGGAACACCAGAGGCGAAGGCGGCGACCUGGAACAGUAUUGACACUCAACUACGAAAGCGUGGGUAGCAAACAGGAUUAGAUACCCUGGUAGUCCACGCCGUAAACGAUGGGUACUAGGUUUGGUGGGUCUUGACCCCCGCCGAACCGGAGCUAACGCAAUAAGUACCCCGCCUGGGAAGUACGGUCGCAAGACUA